CCGGAGGCCGGGCUACGCCUAGACCUGCGCGUGAGCAGCUGCGGCGGCGGCAGCAUCCAGCGGCGGUGCCAGCAGUUCCAGCCCGUUGCUUUACUUUUCAGCUGCACGAAUACAGUCAUGCCGAAGAGAAAGUCUCCAGAAAAUACAGAGGGCAAGGAUGGAUCCAAAGUAACUAAACAGGAGCCCACCAGACGGUCUGCCAGGUUGUCAGCGAAACCUGCUCCCCCCAAACCUGAACCUAAAUCAAGAAAAACAUCUGCUAAGAAAGAACCAGCAACAAAGGUUAGCAAAGGUGUUAAAGGGAAGAAGGAGGAGAAGCAGGAAGCUGGGAAGGAAGGUACGGCAGCACCGGCUGAAAAUGGUGACACUCAAGCUGAAGAGGCACAGAAAACUGAAUCUGUAGCUAACGAGGGAGAAUGAAUGGUCAUGAAAAUUGGGGUUGAUUUUAUGUACCUCUUGGGACAACUUUUAAAAGCUAUUUUUACCGAGUAUUUUGUAAAUGCUAAUUUUUUAGGACUCUACUAGUUGGCAUACAAAAAUAUAUAAGGAUGGACAUUUUACCUUCUCAUAGUCGUGCUUUUUGGAAAUUUCCAUCAUCCUUGAGUAAAAUAAAUACCGGUUUAAUAUUGGA